rnacentral:lncRNA from 1 species
UUUUUUUUGUGGAAAAAUCUACAGUAUGAAGUAAUCAUUGAUUUCAAAUUUUUAUUUUGUUAACAUUGAUUGUAAGAGGAAAUGUAACCCAGCAGUCUACUUUUGGCUAGAUUUUGACAUAAUUUCGAAGAUAAUCAAAGUACUGAAGUACUGAACAUCAGAGGACCUCAAGUUAUGUUGAAUUAUUGAUAAAUGACAGGUGUUUA